rnacentral:rRNA from 1 species
CCCUUAGAUGUUCUGGGCCGCACGCGCGCUACACUGAAGCAUUCAACGAGUUUAUAACCUUGACUGAGAAGUCUGGGUAAUCUUUUGAAAGUGCUUCGUGAUAGGGAUAGAUUAUUGCAAUUUUUAAUCUUGAACGAGGAAUUCCUAGUAAACGCGAGUCAUCAGCUCGCAUUGAUUACGUCCCUGCCCUUUGUACACACCGCCCGUCGCACCUACCGAUUGAAUGAUUCGGUGAAAAUUUCGGACCGAGACCAUGUGCUCUUCACUGAGCGCAAGGUAGCGGGAAGUUAUUUAAACCUCAUCAUUUAGAGGAAGGUGAAGUCGUAACA